UGGAUCCAGACUUUGAUCAUGGCUCAGGAUAAACGCUGGCGGCGCACAUAAGACAUGCAAGUCGAACGGACUUAACUCAUUCUUUUAGAUUGAGAGCGGUUAGUGGCGGACUGGUGAGUAACACGUAAGCAACCCGCCUAUCAGAGGGGAAUAACAGUGAGAAAUCAUUGCUAAUACCGCAUAAGCUAGUAGUAUCGCAUGAUACAGCUAGAAAAGGAGCAAUCCGCUGAUAGAUGGGCUUGCGUCUGAUUAGCUAGUUGGUGGGGUAACGGCCUACCAAGGCGACGAUCAGUAGCCGAACUGAGAGGUUGAACGGCCACAUUGGGACUGAGAUACGGCCCAGACUCCUACGGGAGGCAGCAGUCGGGAAUAUUGCGCAAUGGAGGAAACUCUGACGCAGUGACGCCGCGUAUAGGAAGAAGGUUUUCGGAUUGUAAACUAUUGUCGUGAGGGAAGAAAAUGACAGUACCUCAGGAGGAAGCUCCGGCUAACUAUGUGCCAGCAGCCGCGGUAAUACAUAGGGAGCAAGCGUUAUCCGGAAUUAUUGGGUGUAAAGGGUGCGUAGACGGGAAAUUAAGUUAGUUGUGAAAUCCCUUGGCUUAACUGAGGAACUGCAACUAAAACUGGUUUUCUUGAGUACUGGAGAGGAAAGUGGAAUUCCUAGUGUAGCGGUGAAAUGCGUAGAUAUUAGGAGGAACACCAGUGGCGAAGGCGACUUUCUGGACAGUAACUGACGUUGAGGCACGAAAGUGUGGGGAGCAAACAGGAUUAGAUACCCUGGUAGUCCACACUGUAAACGAUGGAUACUAGGUGUAGGGUGUAUUAAGCACUCUGUGCCGCCGCAAACGCAUUAAGUAUCCCACCUGGGGAGUACGACCGCAAGGUUGCAACUCAAAUGAAUUGACGGA
rnacentral:rRNA from 1 species